AGCGAACGCUGGCGGCAGGCCUAAUACAUGCAAGUCGAACGGGAUCAGGGAGCUUGCUCCCUGUGAGAGUGGCGCACGGGUGCGUAACACGUAUGCAACCUACCUUCAACUGGGGGAUAGCCUUCCGAAAGGAAGAUUAAUACCGCAUAACAUAAUUGAAUGGCAUCAUUUGAUUAUCAAACGUCAGGGUUGAAGAUGGGCAUGCGUCCGAUUAGCUAGUUGGCGUGGUAACGGCACACCAAGGCGACGAUCGGUAGGGGAUCUGAGAGGAUGACCCCCCACACUGGUACUGGGACACGGACCAGACUCCUACGGGAGGCAGCAGUAAGGAAUAUUGGUCAAUGGACGCAAGUCUGAACCAGCCAUGCCGCGUGCAGGAAGACGGUCCUCUGGAUUGUAAACUGCUUUUGUUAGGGAAGAAACCCUCGGAUGCGUCCGGGGCUGACGGUACCUAAAGAAUAAGGAUCGGCUAACUCCGUGCCAGCCGCCGCCGUAAUAC
rnacentral:rRNA from 1 species